rnacentral:rRNA from 1 species
AUUGAACGCUGGCGGCAGGCCUAACACAUGCAAGUCGAGCGCGAAAAUUCCUUCGGGGAUGAGUAGAGCGGCGGACGGGUGAGUAAUGCGCAGAAAUCUGCCCAGUAGUGGGGGACAACCUGGUGAAAACCAGGCUAAUACCGCAUACGCCCUACGGGGAAAGGCAGGGAGUCUUCGGACCUUGCGCUAUUGGAUGAGUCUGCGUCGGAUUAGCUUGUUGGUGAGGUAAUGGCUCACCAAGGCGACGAUCCGUAGCUGGUCUGAGAGGAUGAUCAGCCACACUGGGACUGAGACACGGCCCAGACUCCUACGGGAGGCAGCAGUGGGGAAUAUUGGACAAUGGGCGAAAGCCUGAUCCAGCCAUGCCGCGUGUGUGAAGAAGGCUCUAGGGUUGUAAAGCACUUUCAGUGGGGAAGAAAGCUUGUUAGCUAAUAACUGACGAGUGUGACAUUACCCACAGAAGAAGCACCGG